UUCCGCACUCAGCAAACACGCAGCUUGCUCUCGGCAUGCACCUCGCAUAUCUCAUCCUCACCGUCUUCCUGGCCCAGCUCCUGGGCGCCACGGGGCAGGACACGGUCACCCAGGAAGAUGGACGAGUCACGGUGAAGCAGGGACAGUCCUUCCACACCACCUGCAAAUACCAGACCAAAUAUUUUACUGCCUUGCUCUGGUACCAGCUGCGGAAAGGCCAAGCCCCACAGCUGGUCUCCUAUCAAGCAGGGAGUGGCCCCAGGCACAGCGGCCGUAUCAGCACGCACCUGAACACCACGGGCAAAUACAGUGUCCUGCAGCUGGAGGAAGUGGAGCUCUCUGACAGUGCCUUGUACCUCUGUGCUCUGCAAGACACCCUGCUGCAGGGAGCUUCCUCGGCUGUGCAACAAGCCAGGGCAGGGAGGGGAUGUGUCAGGGCAAGGCUGAGCUUGGGGAAGGGACCCUGA